AUGCUGCUGCUGCUGACGUCCAUGGAGAUGCUGUUGAUGCGGAUCGAGAAAGCAAAGAAAUUAGGGGGAGGAUGUGAGAGAGAAGGAAGGAGAGGAGAGGUCAGGGAGAGCCCCGGUGUUCUACCCCUACUAGGGCAUCUUUGCUCCAGGGAGAAAGGAGGGGACCAGCGGCACAGGGAGGAGAGGAGGCCGUCGAGGCAAGUGGGGAGGGGGCAGCGGCGUGGGAGAGGAUGGAGCGGGGAGGACAUGAGGCGAAGGGGGAGCGGGGCUCGGGAGCACAUGCCGGCGGCCGGCAGGUCGAAUCGUCGCGCCACCGCGUAG
rnacentral:rRNA from 1 species